UGAGGAACCUGCCUUGGAGAGGGGGAAUAACACUCCGAAAGGAGUGCUAAUACCGCAUGAUGCAGUUGGGUCGCAUGGCUCUGACUGCCAAAGAUUUAUCGCUCUGAGAUGGCCUCGCGUCUGAUUAGCUAGUAGGCGGGGUAACGGCCCACCUAGGCGACGAUCAGUAGCCGGACUGAGAGGUUGACCGGCCACAUUGGGACUGAGACACGGCCCAGACUCCUACGGGAGGCAGCAUG
rnacentral:rRNA from 1 species